AUUAUAUGCACGCAGCAGAAGAGGAAAGAAGUACCGCUGACAGGAAGACCUAGGGUCUUUUUUAGCCAGAGGUCUCUAUAGACAUGCCAUCAAUAGUAAUGGCAACCGCAGUGUAUCAUCGUGACGAUGUGCUUAAUCAGGGCUCAGGUGUUGAGGAUGUAGACUUGGGAGAGCCCCUUGUUGGUGUGCUUAAGGCAUCCUGGUUUCAGUCAGGUCAGGUCCCCUCACCUAAUACUGGCCUGAGGCCCAAGACCAAGAUACAAGGACUGAGGCUGUUUUCUUAAGACUCCAUUAAAACAAAUGGCUUUCCGGUCCGUGCCCCCUUCCAGGUCAGCUAACAAUUUUAUAUUGAUUUGCAAAAGAGGCUCCAUUAUAAAAACCUUUUGUAAUUAUCUAAAUUCCAUGUGUUUAGGAAGCUUUUGAACCAUCCAGGAAUAAGCUAAUUUCCGUAAUGGUGAGAAAGAAUUGUACAGUGGAUACAAUAAAUGCUUGUCUACUUACUUAGGCUUGUGUUUGAGUCUGUAAGUGCAUGAUUUGCUAAUUUUGUUAAAAAAAUAGUAAAAAUUCUAAUCUUCAUUUGUAUUGUUUCCUAUAUAAAAAAGCAAACCAUUAGCAAUUAUAGUCCUAUUUCUUAGUCAUAUACUGUCAAUCAGCUAUCUUGAAGAUGGAACUGGGAAACCAGAACUUAUAUUCAACAUGAUAAGGAAAUUUGAAUUCAUUUUAUAUACUAUAAAGUUUAUAAAAGUUAUUAAUAAGUAACCAUAAGAAUGGAUUAAAAAAUAUUUAAAGCAUACCAAUUGACAGAUUUGUAAAUAUCAUUGAAAAAGUCAGAGAUAACUUGGCCGAGAUAUCUAUAGCACCUUUACACUUUAAAAUUUUAAUAUCAAUAUGCCUUCUUAUGAGUUAUGUGUUUGCAUAUUGACUGUGUUCAAAUUUGUUAUUUCAAAUUCCCCUUUGUUUAGGACUCUUGAAAGCACACAGGACUAACUGAGUUAGGGCAAUGGGCUUCCAGUGCCCUCUUGGCUGUCACCUUAUUUAAUAAGGCCUGGCUUGUGCAGUCACUAGUUGGAUUGGAUUAUGUUCUUCCUGACAUUUCCAUUCACUCUGUUGCCCAGCCCUAAAUAUGUUAAGCAAGAUGAGCUAUCCUGGGGCCAGGAUGAUUUUCCUUCAAAAGCAUCCUCAUCAGAUUUAAAUAUUUACUGCUUUCCCCCAUAUCAAAGUCAAUUAAAUAACUUCUCAUACAAUUUAUGAAAGCCAAAAAGCAAUCUAGAAAGGAACACAUCCAAACCCAUUGACUCCAUUGUAGAAAGAGAAAUGAAAACGUGGGUUUCACUGGAGUGUUCUGGCAUGGAAGUAGUGUCUCUUGUUGACUUUAGGAAUCCUGGAAUGUGGCCCUAGGAAGGAAAACCCUUGAACAUUAAGGGGCCCCUUAAUGAAUUUCUCUAUUUCUCUAUGAUCUUUCUUUAGUUCCAUAGCCCCCACCUAAGUAGAGGGUGAGGUCAGAGGGAAUAAAGAAAGACAUAAAGCAAAUUAUGCUGUCGGCUAUCCAAAUUGUACAACCUUAUUCAUGCUGAUUAUGUAUUGCAGGCAUAUGCAAAAAUAAGUUUGCAUAUCCUGAGCAUAUCCGACCUCACCUUUGUUGUGAAUAAAUCACAGACUGUCCUGGAUUCCAGAAGAGUUCCAACCAGUGAAGCUGGCAUUCCAGGAGAAUCCUCUGAUUCUUUUGGCAAAACUGAGUCAAGAACAUAUUGCCAGUUCUUCCUGGGCUCAACUAAAUGUGGAUUCCAUUCACAAUCACUUUUGCUUUGCAUGUUGUGUACGCUUAUGACCAUCAUGUUUAUCAGCAGUUCCAGAGGGCAGCUGCGAGGUUGCUUCCAAAUAUUGCAAUAUGAUUCCAUAAUGUUUUGUAGAAUUUGGAAUCCAUUAUUCUCAUAUUCAAGGACAGGUUUCAGAUUUCAGCAUUGAAAGAUGUCUUCCCAGUUCUUUCAUUGCUUUCAGGGUGCUCAGCUCACAUGGCCUGAGACAGGAAUUGUGCAGCCUCCACAGCCACCUAAACUAUAGACUUUCUAGAGGACUCUACAAAAGCCUGUUUCAUGUGCAGCAUGGUGGAAGAAUACAGUUAACUUUUUCAAUACUAGAACCAUAAAAAUCACUGAAACUAUAUUACCUUUUUGUUUAUCCUAAAAGAGACAAAUAUUCACCCUAUCUAGAAACACAGAACAUCUUCAAAUGCACCUCUGCGUUGUUGAAAAAGGCAUGUUUUGGGGAACUUUAAAGGUGUUGAAUAAUGAAGAAUUCUUUUAUUUAUUCCUUUGAUAAUUCUACUAAAAGUGCAUUUUUUAACAAGAAGACAGUUUCUUUGUUCUUUGUUCAUUAACAUUGCUGUAUUCAACAUAACUUUGAAUCAAAUUAUCCCUUUCACAAAACUGCUCACGUUGUUUCCUGUUCCUUGGCACGAUGAAGCCAUGCAUAUGUAUGACGCGUCACCAAGUGUCAUUUUAGGAAAGACCCUGUUAGUGUGCCUAUGGAGAGAAGCAGAGUUAGAGUAUUGUAGCCAUGGAAGCCACUUUACUUUGCAGCCUUUAGCUUCCUGGAGGGAAUCUGGUGAUGGGAAAGGAAUUCCAUUUUGCAUACUACAUUGUUAGCGUGCAAAUGCUCCACUUAUUUAUAUCAUUCAAUUCAAUCUGGACAUCUUACUUUAAAAAUGUAUAUCUCAGUCCCUCUUUGAAGAAAAAUAUGAUGAAAAUAUAUGAAUUAGAGCUCACAAUUUUACAUUAUUUGUAGAUCAUAAUAACGAUCUUGGCAUUUGUAUUUACCUUACAUAGAGAUGGGAAAACAUUUUGGAAGGUUUUUUGGAGCAAUAGGAGAGGGGAAUGAAAUAUCCCAUUAAAACAGGAAGGACAUUGCUGUCACCUAAUCAGACAGCCUCAGGACUACCAGCAGAUGGUGCAACAACCUAUUUAAUCCUCAGCAUUAUCAGAAAAUAACCAAGAAUGGCAUCUUUCUUUGCUAAUUAAUUCUGAAUACUCCUAAAAAAUUAUGACUUUAAUGAUAAUAGCAUUUAAAACGAUAACCAUAGAAUCUGUAAUAAUUUUUUAAUAAUUAUACAUAAUAUCUGACUUUUUGAACUAAAAGAGACUUUAGAACUCUCUGGUCCAAGCCUUCUGUUUAACAGCUGAGGAAACUCAAGUUCUUAAGUUUAAACUUCAACCACCAGCUAAGGAGGGUCGUGAUGAGUCUUGGUCAUAUGACAGAACCCAUCGCUCAUUGAUUCAGCAACAUUAUCCCUCAGCAAAUACGAUUUCUAGCCCAAUAAUCAAAAUUUGAUGGGGUGGCGGAUGGCAUUUGAUCAUCCAAGUUAAGAUUUUUCAGCAGAUGUUUAUCUGUGGAGACUCUUCUAUUGUAAGAACAUUCAUAGUUUUAGAAAAGAGGCAUUUUCUGGGAGAACAUGCUCUCCUGUCCUCUCUGUUUCCAGCUGCAAACUAACGUGUCAUUUUGCCAAAUGCUUCCUGUCUAGCUUCUGGCUAUUUCUGAGAGAGAGAGAGAAGGUGGGGGCAGGGGGAGAAAGAGAGAGAGAGAGAGAGAUUUUUUUUUACACAUUUGCUUUGUACUAGGAAAAUAUUUCUUAUACAGUCAACAAUAGCAUAUUAAUGGGGAUGAUUUAAGGAGCCCAAGCUUCUAUUCUGUUGCCAGAAUGCCAACGGGAAUGUAUGCUACUUUUCAAAAAAUAGGUGUUGACAAUAGCCUGCAGUAUUGCACUGUAGUCAAAGAAGAGUGCUGAAAGCUUCAGUUCAUAAAAAUGCUUGAUUCAUCAAAAAUAAUCACCUCACCUGAUAAUUGAAAGCUACAGAGAAUUAUUAUGCAGCCGUGGACUCUCAAAAAUUUAUUCAUUUUUGGUAAUUAACAUUAUUUCUUCUUGAUGAUGUUGCUAAAUGGCUUGAACCCAGUCUGAAGAACCAUGCAUGAUCAUUUAUGCUGAAAAGAAAAGAAAUUAGAAGCUUUUGUUGCACAGGUAAGAAAAGAUAAAUUUCUGAAAACCAAAAUGUCCUACCAGGUCUAUCCAUAUUUGUUUUAUUAAUGGGUAAUGCUUUCUAUUAGCUAAUGAAAAGAUGAUGGUAGUUUAACAGUGGAAUAACUUUUAAUAUAUCAUAAUCAGAGAAUACAAGGUAAGCAAAAUUACAAUCCAAUGUCUGAUUAGAAAAAAAAAUUAUUUUAUGGAAUUAAAAAAUAUUAUUUUAUUAAAUAAAAUAUGGUUUUCUUUUGAAAGUAUGUGGAAAUCAAAUUGCUAAGAUCAAUGCAACCAUUUAACUGAGUUUCAUUUUGACAAAAGGCAAUCUGUGGCGAUAUUGCUUUAGAAGUAAGAUGAAAUGCAUAAAUUCAGAUAAAACAUUUUGCCGAUUGCCUGGCUGAAAUAACUGGUUAUUAUUAUUGUUAUUACCAUUAGAAGACAAAAAAAUGGUCUCCCAGUUUUCAGCAUAUGCUACUCUUAAGUAGAAGGACCUUUAACAAAAGCUAAGUGUCCAGGCCUUGGUUUACUCAUCAAAGCAAAUGACCACAUCAGAUGUUCCCUGGGAGCCUUCUGACAUUUAGCAUUUGGUGAUUUUAUCAUCUCACUCCAAGUAAAGGAAGCAGCAAAACCUCUCUGAUUGUAUUUUGAGGUCUCUGCAUAAAUAACUGUAAAGCAUAUUUGACCACAUUAUGAGAAAAUUUGUAAAAUAAAUUUUAUUUGGAAUGCCUACUUGAACUGGAAAUUAACAAUUAGAGGACAUGACUUCCCUGAUGUUUACCUCAUUAGAAAAUGUCUUGGACAAAACGCUGGCAAAAAUCUUCUCUUGAAAACAAUCCUUUAUUAUUUAAAAGGUGGAAUUUAUGCCCCCCAAAUUUAUCUUUCUAAUGAUAUUUAACCCAUUUUGCAUAGCUCGUGUUUUCUUUUGUCCAAUGUUUAAACUAGCUUUUAUUUUUUUAAUGAUUAGAAGCUUGAACAUGUAAAAAAAAAAACAUUAAUGACUUUCAUAGCAUGAACCAGGAAAACAUUUAAAAUCUGUUAAACCUAGUAAUAAUUAUUUCAAAAUGUUGCCUACUAAUGAUGACUUACUAAUUAUCACUUUGUUGUCUUAGUAACUACCUACCCUUGCUGAAGAGUUGACAGAUUUUCAAAUCUACAGAUUGUGACAUAUAAGAAUGUGUGAAACCUGGUGGGUGAGCCAUCUUAGGCCUCAGUUUCUCCAUGUGAAAUGGGAGGAACUGGGCUGAACGAGAUCUAGGUUGUCCUUCCAUUCUGAGUGUGUUCUCUCAAGAUAAUGCUUGUGUUAAUAAGGACUGCAGGGCUCAGUCAGUCAAUGGGUUAUGUUCCUUAAACCUUAUCCAAAACAUCCCGGGUGUUAUGUGUUUCAAAAUUCAGAUUUUUUACAUUUCUUUUGGAUUUUAUAAUGGUAAUACAUUACAAAACAGUAUAUUAUAUAAUCCCCCCAGCAAGGUAUGGGGCAGCUCCAUGUAAUUAAGCUCAUUAUGGAUUCUGUGGCCACUGGUAUGAAAUUGAGGGCGGUGACAAUCAGGGACUCUAAAUAGGUUGUCAUUAGCUCAGGUCAGUUACUGUGGCUAAACACAUUACGGACAAUCUUUUUUUCUUUUUUUUCCUAUUUGUUUUUACUGCAUUUUGGAUUUCAGAAUGGUGGAUAAAGAUUGCGAAUUUGCACAGCUAUAAAGCUUACUAAUUAAAGACUACAAACACAAAGAGAGCAAGCCUUGUGAUGACUGCACAAUAACGAGGAUUCAGAUACAACGUGGUCGCCACCUGACGCCCACCUCCACAAAAAGCCAUUCUCAAAAGGAGAGAGACAUUCAUAUCCAGAAGAGGGAGUCGGCUGUAGGGUAGAGAUGUUCGUCUGAAGAUUUCAAAGCCCACUGCUGAUUUAAGGUCAUUCACAUUCAGCCAUGAAGCUGCUCUGAAGACACAGGAACUGCAUAGCUCCCUACUGGGAAUGUCAAGGGCUGUGAAAGGUCUAAGGUUUUAUCCUACUUGCAACCAACAAGCUAUGCAGCCACAGUUUUAUGGAUGCUGUCAAAAGACAUGACACUCCUGGGUAAGAGACGAAAGACUUUACCACUUGUGGUGUAGUAGCCAGCUGGAGCAUCUUGUGUUUUGAGUUAGUGCCAGUUGUCCCCUAAGUCCCACAGGUAAGGAUGCAAGUUUUCCCAGAUGGAGGCAGGGAAGCAUGCAGGCAUGGGGUGGUGAUGCAGGAACGGAGCUCUGAACUUAGAGAACCCAGAGCUUUAAUAAUGGGUGGAAAGUGUAUCAUUCACCUGCUCUAGAAAAAGACAUGGAGGGAGUCUCCUUCAUAAAAGGACGUUUCAUAGUGGUUGCUAUUCAAAUAUCCUUGGAAAGAUGGGCUGAGACACAGGGUGGCCAGUGCCUCUGCUCACAAGGUGUACCCAAAUCCAGAAGCCCAUGAAAAAUUAUCUUCCAAAACAAUGAUGAAUUUUCCCAUGAGCAUACCACUCCACUGGCCACUAUGAUUAAUCUGGUCAAUUAUUCCCCCUCUAGCAUGCAGUUUAGGCUGCUAACAACAGCAUGAGGGCAACCUGCUGUGGUGACCUAAGCUAUGACACCCCACCCCAAGUCCGGGAUGCAGCUAACUGAGCAAACUGCAUGAACUGGGAGGCGGCCGACCAUUGUUCACGCCUCUCCUUCGCGUAUGUGUUUUCUACUGUUCUUGCACUGUAAAGGCAGAGGUUGCAUCGGGCCCUUAUGCAAAGCCCCAAAUAAUUACUGGCUGACUCUUCUCAGGGAACAUUUGCUAACCCUGUCACAAGCCAUAAGGUUCCACCACAGAUUGCCCUGUGGCUCUCUCGUUACGUUUCUGUGUGGACGUUUCCACAUGGUCUGAGGCAUUCAUCCAAGAAGAGCAGGAUGUAUUAGUGACUGCACAGAUUCUGCCUUGGCCCACAAAGAGGACAUCCAGGGCAGUCCUGGUCAUCUGUAAUAACAUUGCCCAGUGAGUUGAGGCUGACCUGAGUACUGACUUGGGUUGAGUUGGUGUCACUGAUCACUUCAGCCAAAGAUGGGACAUUUCUUAGCACCUGUUCUGAUUGGCUGACUUCUAUGGUCAGGAUAACGGCUCUCAGGAUGCGUAUAACUGCCAAGUCUCUCCGGGAAGCUUCCCUGGGUUACCAAGGAAUCCUCAUGUCUGAGAGAGCUCCACCAUCAUCCAAGGGCCACACGGAGUUUCUUGCAAUGCUUCAAGGUCUCCUGUAAUAACUCCUAUGAUAGAAGUCACUGUGUUUUGGGGAGGUAGACUGCAGCAUGCAGUUUUGACAGCAUGACCAAGGUCAUUGUUCAGGUCUGAUUAUUCAAAUUCAAAAAACUGCAACCUCAGGCAUAAAAGAUUAAGGAUGGAGCCCAAGUCUCUGGGUCCCCAAGGGGGACUGAAGCACAUACUCACCCAUCUGAAUAUGCUGGAGAACAGGAAGGAGAGACUCAAGCUUGUCUGGGUCUGUUGGAUACAGACUCUCCCAUCUCCACCCCAUCAGGUCCUAUGGAGGCCCAAGUUCAGCUGAUGAAGUUAAGGGAGUGCUCAGUGCAGAAGGGUGGGAGGGCACUUGGGGCAUUUUGGGGUCCUGUUUUUGUUGCUUCUGCAUCUGAUACAGCAGGAAUUGAAGUAUUGCACACUUGUCCUUCCCAUUUCCAAGUGCUGCCUUCCCAUCAGUAAGAGCCACAGUUAGAGAGGGACCAACAGGAGGAUAACUCCCACAUGCUUAGCAUUCCAAUAAUGGAACACUAGGCAUAAAUUGAUAAGAUGCUUUCAAUGCAAUCAGUACUCUGCCAGGAUUCACUAAGUAGAGAAUGACUAAAUAUUUACCCAUCUCCUAACAAAAAUGCACAACUGAGGACAGAUGUUUUGCACUUUUAUGUGUCUACGGACUGUGUAAGAGGAUUUGGCUGGGUCAUCAUCUUCUUCUUCUUCUUAGACUGGUUGAUGGUGACCGUUCAUUGAUCCAAUAUGGUAAAGUCAUGUCCUGGUCUGUGUUCUUCGGGGUCCACAACCCUCUUUAACAGCCUGUUGUAAGGUUCUCGACCACGUCACUGUCUAGCUAAACCAUUCUGCAUUUCAGUAGGUAAACCAGCAGGAGGGCUUAAAAACCACAUUGCCCUGUCCACAUCCCUAUUUCUGAUUCUUUUCUGGCCUGCGAUCCUACAUCUCUAUCCUCACUUUAAACUGUUUUCCUCUUUUCUUCUCCUUUUUCCUGACCUCCUUUAUGUUUUUCAUUUCUCCUCCAUCUGAAUAUACCAAACCAUCCUUUUGCUUCCUCUUUUCUCUUCAUUAAUUAUUCUAGGGGCUAUUUUUUUUAUUAGGAAGAUGUAUUAUUUUAACAUGCUUUAUAAAGUUAGUGGCAUUAAGGAAUUAAUGUCCUUGGAAACUCAUACAUGUUCAGCUUCUAGAAACCCCUGAUUCCAAGGAGCAAAAACAUGCCAUCUCUGACAGUGUCCACAAGAACAAUACCAGAUCAGACGAUAAAGCCAACACACAGCAUAGCCAAUGGCCACACAUCCAGAAAACACUCUCAACAAAUUUAACCCUUCAGUAUUCACUGUAGCCAAUAUAUAUUCAAUAUAUAUAGCUGACUUUGUUUUUAUAUUUGAUGAAGUCCUGCUAUUUGAAAUAAAAUAAUCAAACCAACAACAACAACAACAAAAACCCCAUACAUGGUGAUAGCAUAUGUGAGGCAGUAGCAAUUUCUCCAUCUUUUCUGUCCUGUCUUUCCUGUUCUUCGUUCCCAUGCUAAGAAGGGAUGGAUAUAUCUCGGAGAUUACACAGGUUCUAGUCAAAGACUUCAUUGUGAACGUUUGUUUCACAUUUUCCCUGGAUAAGGACUAAUUAAAAGUUUGGAAAAGUAUACCUUUUUUUUUUUUUUUUUUUGCAAACUUACCCAUAUUAUGUGCUUUUUCUUGAUACAGCUGCUAAUCUUUGCUGUAUAUGUAGUGUUAGGAAGUCUACUUUAAUACACACACACACGUUUAAUGAGGUAAAAUAUGCAUAACAUAAUUACCAUUUUAACAAUUUUUAAGUGUAGAGUUCAGGGGCAAGUACGUUCAUGUUCUUGUGCAACUAUCACCACCAUUUUUUCUCCAGAACCCUUUUUAUCAUCUCAAACUGAAACUCUGCACCCACUGAACAAUAACUCCCCGUUCUCUCCUCCUCCUAGACCCUGGUAACCCCUCAUCUAUUUUCUGUCUCUGUGUAUUUGACUAUUCUAGGUACCACAUUAACGUGGACUUACACAGUAUUCGUCCUUUUGUGACUGGCUUAGUUUAUUUAGCAUAAGAUCCCCAAGGUUCAGCCGGGUGCCGUGGCUCAUGCCUGAAAUCCAAGCACUUUGGGAGGCCAAGGUGGGUGGAUCACCUGAGGUCAGGAGAUUGAGACCAGCCUGGCCAACACGGUGAAACCUCAUCUCUACUAAAAUACAAAAAUUAGCUGGGCCUGGUGGCGGGCGCCUGUAAUCCUAGCUACUAGGUAGGCUGAGGCAGGAGAUUAGCUUGAACCUGGGAGGCGGAGGUUGCAGUGAGCAGAGAUGGGACCACUCCACUCCAGCUUGGGCAACAGAGCAAGACCCUGUCUCAAAAAAAAAAAAUUCAAGGUUCAUCCAUGCUGUGGCAUGUGUCAUAAUUUCAUUUCUUCAUAUUCCUGAAAUACAUUUCUAAAUAUAAAUUUUUCAUUACUGUUUUCAUUUCAAGUUAAGUUUAUCAGAUCCUGUAGUCCAGGGACUUCAGUCUCUUUGAAUUAUGUCUUUCUUGGACAAUUUGGGAGCUCUUUUGAGAAACUGAAUACAAUUUGAAUACACUAAAAUCUGAAUCACACCAUAGAUAACGACAUAGUGUCUUAGUGAGAAGAAAUUUGAUUCUGCUGACUAGGAUACUAAAGUUUGACCUUUAUGGUCAUCUCUUAAUAAAAUAAAAGGAGAGCACUGGGCUAUUAAAUAGUUUAUUCAUGGAUCAUAGGGUGAAUAAGACCUAGAUCCUAGAGGAAAUCCUCCCCACAAAGACACUCAGACUUUUAUUCCUGUCAAUGUUCUUGUGGAUUUCAGGGAGCAAUGAUGGCUAUAAAUCUGCAACUCAUAGCAUUUCAGGCUAAACACAUUCAGCCUUUAUUACCAUUGUUCAUUUGACCUCUUUAUCCAAUUUUUUUCCCACCCACUUGCCAAUAUCACCUUGUUCUUAUGUAGGCUGUGUUUCAGCCAGCUUAAGCCUUACUAACAAAUGAGGUGAAAUCCAUCUGAGGAGGAAGCCGGGGCAUGGUGGAUUGAAAUAGCUUGCCUCAGGAGCAGAAAAUUUGGUGUGGAUCAAGAAAUAGAACUCCAAAGUAUACCUUUCCAGUCAUUGGCUUUAGCUGGAGCCAGCAUCCUUCAAUGAAUCAGUCAACAUUUACCUAUCUGUUCCCCACAGCAGUUUUGCAAAUCGCUUUCAGAAAUCAUUGAACCACUAACAGUUUAUCCACUCUGCAAAAUAUACACAGCUCUUCCCAUAUCCAGGAGGGUUAUCCCUUCUCAGCUGCGUUCAACACUUUUUACAACCCCUGAUUUCAAUAAGCAGAAUACAUCCACCUGCUUAGGGAAAUUACUCUUACCAUAUAAUUGCCUCUUAUGUUGAAAUGUCCAUGAGACCCUCUCAUGAAAUAGGGGACAAGAUAAAGCACAGAUUUUCCCCCAACUCAAACAUGCCUGUCUCAUACAUGUCAUGCCCUUGGAAAUGGCCAACACUGCUCUCUGCCUCCUGUUUAGGGUUAAGGCUUUCACUAUCUCUUGCCACCUCUGAUGAAAUUACUAACAAAUAUAUUAUCCUUACCCUUUGUCUUCUAUUCCAGCACUUCAAAUGCAUCAAAGGUCCAGAGAGAAGCUUCUUCUGGUCACCUUGAUCUUGUGAUGCAAGGCAGGUGGGAGCAAGGGCUCCACCUCUGCAGACACAGAGAUGACGGGGUCGCCAUGCCGGCGUUUUAGUCCCGGUUUCCUCUGCUCGAGUAGUUGGUGGCCUCCUGCCUGUUCCCUAACAUAACUUCACUUUCCUUACCUGCAAAACGAAAUUAGUAUUUCCUCCCUCACAAGGUGCUUGAUGCCCUUCCCCUUGCGUUUACUUUGCCUGAGAGACUAUAUCAUAUCUAUGAUUUUGUGAAUGGGGCAAAAGGAAUUGAGAGUGUCAGGGUAUACCUUAUAAAUAAGCCACUAAAGGUUACAUCCUCAUUCCACAAACUGACCUAAACAAUUUGGCUGUCACUAAUAGAUUAUUUUGGUCAGUUAUGGCAUUUAGAGGGAGAAGAGAGAGUAUAUAUAUAUGGGUGGGGUGUGUGUGUAUGCGUGUGUAUGUGUGUGUUUACAGUCAAAAUACCAAAAUAUAUCUAUGUAUAUAAAUAUAUUUGCUUUCUUUGUUUUUGUUACAAUAAACUUGUACAUACAAUUCUGACACACAUAUUUUCAUAUGUAGGCACAAAAAUAGUCAUACAAAAAAUACCACAAAAGGUAAUAACAAAGUGGAAGAAGACAUAGGAACAGAGAACAAACCAACACAUAGAAAAAGUAACAAACAUGGUAGAUACGAAUCCAGCUAUAUCAAUAAUCGCGUUAAACAUCAAUGGUCUUAAAUAUACUAGACAGUGGAAUAUUAUUCAGCAUUGAAAAGAAAUGACCUAUCAAGCCAUGAAAGACAAGGAGGAACCUUAAAUGCAUGUUACUGAGUGAAAGAAGCCAAUCUGAAAAGGCUGCAUCCUGCAGGAUUCUGACUCUAUGACAUUCUGGAAAAGGUAAAACUACUAAGACAGUGAAAAGAUCAGUAGCUGCCAGGGGUUACGGGAAGGGGAUGAUGAAUAAGUGGGGCACAGCAUUUUGAGGAGGUGAAACUACUCUGUAGGAUACUGUAACAGUAAAUCCAUGUCAUUAUAUGUUUGUACACACCCAUAGAACACCAGGAGGACAGCACCAAGAGGGAGCCCUAGUGUGAACUGUGGACUCUGGUUGGUAAUGAUGUGCCUGUGAAGCUUCAUUGUUUGCAGCAAAUGCAUCAGUGUGGUGGGGGAUGUUUCUAAAUUGAUAAUGAAGGACGCCAUAGGUGUAUGGGGGCAGAGAGUUUAUGAGAAAUCUGUACCUUUUGCUCAAUUUUACUGAACAUAAAACUGCUGAAGCCAUCAUUCUCAGCAAACUAACCCAGGAGCAGAAAACCAAACGCCGCAUGUUCUCACUCAUAAGUGGGAGUUGAACAAUGAGAACACAUGGACACAGGGAGGGGAACAUCGUCACACACCGGAGCCUGUCGCAGGGUGGGGAGCUGGGGGAGGGAGAGCAUUAAGACAAAUACCUAAUGCAUGUGGGGCUUAAAACCUAGAUGAUAGGUUGAUAGGUGCAGCAAACCACCAUGGCACAUGUAUACCUAUGUAACAAACCUGCACAUUCUGCACAUGUAUCCCAGAACUUAAAGUAAAAUAUAUUAAAAAAAUUAAAGUCUAUUUUAAAAAAAGAAAAACAAUCAGCUAACCUACUUUGGUAGCUCUGUUCUGCGCUGUCGGGUCUUCCAUCCUAGCGUGUGACACAGGAGGGUUUCGCUGGCAGGACCCGCCCACUGCACAUGCAGGUUCAGGUGACAGAGACCUCUGGAAAGAUGAGGCCCGUGGGAGCAGGGGGCUUCUUGUUGACACUGAAGGUCAGGCUUCAGGAAUGCCAGGGGCUCAUAAAAUCUUUUUCACUGAACAUUAUGCUGAGCAGGAUUCAUUUUACCAGUGAAAAAAUAUUUCUGACAUCCUUUGUGCUUUUUAACAAAGCCUGUGGUGUGGAUUUGCAUGAUUCUUAGAUUGCUGAGUAACCACUUCGGGAGGGUUCUUGAUUAGGGCACUAAAAAUGUUAACACAACACCCGUGGGAUGUAGAUUAAGGUCAACUUGUCCUUGUGCGUCUCUCCUAGUGUUGAUGGCAGAGUCUUAGUAUUUCAGCUGACGAAAUCUCUGCCCAUUCUCUUCCAAUGUUCCCUAAUAAGCUACAGGAGGACAGAGACAAAAGUUUGACUUCAUUAGUAACUUUUGGAAGUUGCCCAAUUUAGGAAAAAGAGUUAAUAAAUCAGGAAUUUUAUAAGAACUUUUUGUUAAAUCUGUAGUUAUUCAAAUCAGCCUCAGCAUGAUAAGACAACACUACAGGUUAUUAUAAAUAGUUGAAAAAGAAAAAUUAAAUUCCAACCAAACAAUUGAUCCUUAACUUUUUUUUUUUUUGAGACGGAGUUUUGCUCUUGUUGUCCAGGCUGGGGUGCAGUGGCACAGUCUUGGCUCACUGCAACCUCCACCUCCCAGGUUCAAGCAAUUUUCAUGCCUCAGCCUCCUGAGUAGCUGGGAUUACAAGUGCCCGCCACCAAAUCUGGCUAAUUUUUGUAUUUUUAGUAGAGACGGGAUUUCACCAUGUUGACCACGCUGGUCUCGAACUACUGACCUUAGGUGAUCUGCCCACCUCGGCCUCCCAAUGUUCUGGGAUUACAGGCAUGAGCCACCACAUCUGACCGAUCCUUAACAUGUGAUAAAACAAAUGUUAUGUUGCUCAGCACAUAGUUCAGGUACCCAUUUUGAAAUUCACUCUUCAUCACACAGUGCCCCUUCUUCUCCUCUCCUGUGGAGACUGAGUUCUCAUCUCCCUGUCUUAGAUAGCAUGAGACCCCUUUCUCUACUGUGGCCUUAGUGAACCCAGGAAGGGAUCCUAUACUGCACAUGAGUGUGGGAAAGAGAGACUGUGGCUUGACGUCUUAGGGAACUUUUUUUUUCCAAAGGCUGGCAGAGACUCUUUCUUUCCUAUAGUAUAGUUCUUUAAACAUCACACUCUUUUACAAUCCUAACUAACUUUGUGAUCGUGUCUUCCAUAAAUACCCCAGAAUCCCAGUCAGAAUAUGCACUGUAGGAAGGGACUAGUCUGGGACUCAAAUGAUUAGAUGAGUUCAGGGAAUAUGUCUAAUGAUGGAUUUUGAGCUGGGUUUUUGAGUGUCGUUUUCAGUAUCUUCAUCAUGUCCAUAGCUAUCAUAGGCUAAGAAUAAAACCAGACUGGUUUUCCCUAGUCAGCAUUCUCUUUGUCUGAUCUUCAGAGGUAAAGUCCAGAUGCUGUAAGCCUUGACUGGUGCGGUGGUGUAGGGCUAGCAGCACGCUACAAAAAACGAGGGCCACGCAGUCCUGGGGAGGAAGACUCUACAAGUGCAAUGUGGGGAAGGAGACUCUACAAGUGCAAUGUGCCCGAGGCGGGCGGAUAACUUGAGGUCAGGAGUUUGAGACCAGCCUGGCCUACAUGGUGAAACCCAGUCUCUACUAAAAAUACAAAAAAAAAAAAAAUAUUAGGCAUUGUGGCACACACCUCUAAUCUCAGCUACUUGGGAGACUGAGGCAGGAGAAUCACUUGAACCCGGG
rnacentral:lncRNA from 10 species